rnacentral:rRNA from 1 species
AUUGAACGCUGGCGGCAGGCCUAACACAUGCAAGUCGAGCGGAUGAAGGGAGCUUGCUCCUGGAUUCAGCGGCGGACGGGUGAGUAAUGCCUAGGAAUCUGCCUGGUAGUGGGGGAUAACGUCCGGAAACGGGCGCUAAUACCGCAUACGUUCUGAGGGAGAAAGUGGGGGAUCUUCGGACCUCGCGCUAUCAGAUGAGCCUAGGCCGGAUUAGCUAGUUGGUGGGGUAAAGGCCUACCAAGGCGACGAUCCGUAGCUGGUCUGAGAGGAUGAUCAGGCACACUGGAACUGAGACACGGUCCAGACUCCUACGGGAGGCAGCAGUGGGGAAUAUUGGACAAUGGGCGAAAGCCUGAUCCAGCCAUGCCGCGUGUGUGAAGAAGGUCUUCGGAUUGUAAAGCACUUUAAGUUGGGAGGAAGGGCAGUAAGUUAAUACCUGGCUGUUUUGACGGUACCAAAAGAAUAAGCACCGGCUAACUUCGUG